GACGAACGCUGGCGGCGUGCUUAACACAUGCAAGUCGAACGGAAAGGCCCUGCUUUUGUGGGGUGCUCGAGUGGCGAACGGGUGAGUAACACGUGAGUAACCUGCCCUUGACUUUGGGAUAACUUCAGGAAACUGGGGCUAAUACCGGAUAGGAGCUCCUGCUGCAUGGUGGGGGUUGGAAAGUUUCGGCGGUUGGGGAUGGACUCGCGGCUUAUCAGCUUGUUGGUGGGGUAGUGGCUUACCAAGGCUUUGACGGGUAGCCGGCCUGGGAGGGUGACCGGCCACCUUGGGACUGCGAUACGGCCCAGACUCCUACGGUGGGCAGCAGUGGGGAAUAUUGCACAAUGGGCGGAAGCCUGAUGCAGCAACGCCGCGUGCGGGAUGACGGCCUUCGGGUUGUAAACCGCUUUCGCCUGUGACGAAGCGUGAGUGACGGUAAUGGGUAAAGAAGCACCGGCUAACUACGUG
rnacentral:rRNA from 1 species